CGGAUUCUGGCUCAGGAUGAACGCUAGCUACAGGCUUAACACAUGCAAGUCGAGGGGCAUCAGGGAUCUAGCUUGCUAGAUCUGCUGGCGACCGGCGCACGGGUGAGUAACGCGUAUCCAACCUUCCCCAUAGUAGAGGAUAGCCCGGUGAAAAUCGGGUUAAUACUCUAUGUUGUAUAACGAGGACAUCUGAAUUAUACCAAAGGUUCACCGCUAUGGGAUGGGGAUGCGUCUGAUUAGGUUGUUGGCGGGGUAACGGCCCACCAAGCCAUCGAUCAGUAGGGGUUCUGAGAGGAAGGUCCCCCACAUUGGAACUGAGACACGGUCCAAACUCCUACGGGAGGCAGCAGUGAGGAAUAUUGGUCAAUGGGCGCGAGCCUGAACCAGCCAAGUAGCGUGCAGGAAUGACGGCCCUAUGGGUUGUAAACUGCUUUUAUGCGGGGAUAAAGUGCAGCACGUGUGCUGUUUUGUAGGUACCGCAUGAAUAAGGACCGGCUAAUUCCGUGCCAGCAGCGGC
rnacentral:rRNA from 1 species